ACUCCUACGGGAGGCAGCAGUGGGGAAUAUUGCACAAUGGGCGCAAGCCUGAUGCAGCAACGCCGUGUGAGUGAAGUAAGGUUUUCGGAUACGUAAAACUCUGUACCGUAAAGGGAAAGAAAAAAUGACGGUACCUUAGGGAGGAACGCCCCGGCUAACUACGUGCCAGCAGCCGCGGUAAGUACGGUAGGGGGCAAGCGUUAUCCGGAAUCACGUGGGCGUAAAGGGUGCGUAGGCGGCUUAGCAAGCCGAGGGGUGAAAGGCAUUGGCUCAACCAAUGUAAGCCUUUGGAACUGUUAAGCUUGAGUGCAGGAGAGGUAAGUGGAAUUUCCUAGUGUAGAGGUGAAAUUCGUAGAUAUUAGGAGGAACACAGUGGCGAAGGCGACUUACUGGACUGUAACUGACGCUGAUGCACGAAAGCGUGGGUAAGCGAACAGGAUUAGAUACCCUGGUAGGUCAGUC
rnacentral:rRNA from 1 species